rnacentral:rRNA from 1 species
AUUGAACGCUUGCGGCAUGCCUUACACAUGCAAGUCGAACGGCAGCACGGGAGCAAUCCUGGUGGCGAGUGGCGAACGGGUGAGUAAAGUAUCGGAACGUGCCCAGUCGUGGGGGAUAAUGUAGCGAAAGUUACGCUAAUACCGCAUACGAUCUAUGGAUGAAAGCGGGGGAUCGCAAGAACUCGCGCGAUUGGAGCGGCCGAUAUCAGAUUAGGUAGUUGGUGGGGUAAAGGCGCACCAAGCCGACGAUCUGUAGCUGGUCUGAGAGGACGACCAGCCACACUAGGACUGAGACACGGCGCAGACUCCUACGGGAGGCAGCAGUGGGGAAUUUUGGACAAUGGGCGAAAGCCUGAUCCAGCCAUGCCGCGUGCAGGAUGACGGCCUUCGGGUUGUAAACUGCUUUUGUACGGAACGAAAAGGUUUGGCCUAAUAAGCUGAGCUCAUGACGGUACCGUAAGAAUAAGCACCGGCUAACUACGUGCCAGCCGCCGCAGUAA